UUAAUGCAAACUGCAUACUGCUUUGAACAUCGACAUCUUGAACGCAUAUUGCGGCCAUGGGUUAGCCUGUGGCCACGCCUGUCCGAGGGUCGGCUUAUAAACUAUCACGACGCCCAAAAAGUCGUGGCUUGGGUUUUGCCAGCUGGCGUGAUCUCCUCUAUGAGUAAUCAUGUGAGGUGCCAGAUCUAUGGCGUUUCCCUAAUGUAUCCGGAUGCACCCUUGUCUUGGCAGAAAGCCGUGGUGAGGUGCAGUGGCGGAAUCGUGGUUUAAUAAUCGGGUUGGUACUCAGUUGUCAGUGUGUUCGGCGAUCCCCUAGUCGGCACACUCAUGAUUUCUGGGAUAAUUCCAUACCAGGCACGUUCCGUUACUGUUACUUUGUCAUUGGUUUGAUGCUGAACUUGGUCAUGUGUCUGAUGCUAUUUCAUAUAACAACGGUACCCUUCGUGGUCUGUCUUCCUGACCUCGGUUCAGACGUGAUUACCCGCUGAACUUAA
rnacentral:rRNA from 1 species